GAUGAACGCUAGCGACAGGCCUAACACAUGCAAGUCGAGGGGCAGCAUGAAAUUAGCUUGCUAAUUUUGAUGGCGACCGGCGCACGGGUGAGUAACACGUAUGCAACCUGCCUGUAAGCGGGGGAUAACACGGAGAAAUUCGGACUAAUACCGCAUAAUAUCAUCGAAUCGCAUGUUUUGAUGAUUAAAAAUUUAUUGCUUACAGCUGGGCAUGCGUAUGAUUAGCUAGUUGGCGGGGUAACGGCCCACCAAGGCGACGAUCAUUAGGGGUUCUGAGAGGAAGGUCCCCCACAUUGGAACUGAGACACGGUCCAAACUCCUACGGGAGGCAGCAGUGAGGAAGAUUGGUCAAUGGACGCAAGUCUGAACCAGCCAUGUCGCGUGAAGGAUGACUGUCCUAUGGAUUGUAAACUUCUUUUAUAUGGGGAUAAAGUGUGAGACUUGUCUCAUUUUGCAUGUACCAUAUGAAUAAGCAUCGGCUAACUCCGUGCCAGCAGCCGCAGUAAUAC
rnacentral:rRNA from 1 species